rnacentral:rRNA from 1 species
ACACAAUAAGUAAUCCACCUGGGGAGUAUGACCGCAAGGUUGAAACUCAAAGGAAUUGACGGGGGCCCGCACAAGCAGUGGAGUAUGUGGUUUAAUUCGAAGCAACGCGAAGAACCUUACCAGGUCUUGACAUCCAACUAACGAAGCAGAGAUGCAUCAGGUGCCCUUCGGGGAAAGUUGAGACAGGUGGUGCAUGGUUGUCGUCAGCUCGUGUCGUGAGAUGUUGGGUUAAGUCCCGCAACGAGCGCAACCCUUAUCAUUAGUUGCUACGCAAGAGCACUCUAGUGAGACUGCCGUUGACAAAACGGAGGAAGGUGGGGAUGACGUCAAAUCAUCAUGCCCCUUAUGACCUGGGCUACACACGUACUACAAUGGCGAUUAACAGAGGGAAGCAAGACAGUGAUGUGGAGCAAAACCCCAAAAAUCGUCUCA